rnacentral:lncRNA from 1 species
GAAUGAAGAAAAGAAAGAUAAUAUGAUUCCUACAACCUCAUAUAUGAUCAUAAUAUUGGGAGAACAAGCUUAUUCAAUAAUAUGCUUGCACACCAUUUUGGUGAGGCUUUUUUUUCAUUACUCAAUAACUUUUUAAGUUUUUGCUAGUAGUAUGAUCUUAAUGAAAGAAUUGACAUGCUUUAGUGUUAGCUGAUUAUAACUCAUUUCUUACUUUUCCUGCUAAAGAUGGGGUUGGGCAAGUUAAUACCUCUCUAGUGCUGUAGCUUUUGGCAAGUUAAGGAAC